GGACGUCGAGGGACAUAUAUUCAAUUUAGGGACAUUGAGGGACAUAUGUUCAAGUCACGGACAUCGAGGGAUAUAUGUUCAAGUUACGGACAUUGAGGGACAUAUGUUCAAUUUACGGACAUAUAUUCAAUUUUGCAUCUAAGGCGUCAAGGGUCUUCUCCACUUUCAUUUGCAGUUAUGAAUAAGCAUUCACAUUGGAUUUGCAUUCAAACCAUCAAUUUUAG
rnacentral:lncRNA from 1 species